AUGGCCGCCCACGGCAAGCCCAAGCCCAAGCCGCCCGGCGCCCCCGCGCCACCGCCGCCCCCACCACCGCCGACGGCGGCAGAGGCGAAGAAGGGCUUCAUGCGCCGGAUGUUCCCCUUCCUCCUCGCCGUCAACGCCUUCGUCGGCGCCUACAUGCUCGUCAGGACCUACUACAAGGAUUCCCCGGCCAAGACCGCCGACUCUGCCGCUGCCACUGCAACGGCGUCGACCCCGUCUGCCACCGCCGAGUCCCCUGAGCCGCCGGUGGCAACGCCUGCCAAGGUGCUGCCGCCGAUCCCCGAGGACGAGCAGCGCCGGGUCUACAAGUGGAUGCUGGAGGAGAAGCGCAAGGUGAAGCCACGCGACGCCGCCGAGAAGAAGAGGCUCGACGACGACAAGGCCCUGCUCAAGCAGAUCAUCCGCGCCGACACCCUCCCGGUGCUCUGA
rnacentral:rRNA from 1 species